rnacentral:rRNA from 1 species
AGAGUUUGAUCCUGGCUCAGGACGAACGCUGGCGGCGUGCUUAACACAUGCAAGUCGUGCGGAAAGGCCCUUCGGGGUGCUCGAGCGGCGAACGGGUGAGUAACACGUGAGCAACCUGCCCCUGGCUCUGGGAUAGCUCCGGGAAACCGGGAUUAAUACCGGAUGUGACUCGUGGAUGCAUGUCUGCGGGUGGAAAGGUU